GCGGGGAUGCCGGAGUGGCCAAACGGGUAUGGCUUAGGUCACUUUUUGUAAGAUACCAUAUGGCUUAGUGCCUACGGGGGUUCGAAUCCUCCUCCCCGCA
rnacentral:tRNA from 1 species